UUAAGUUAUUAAGGGCGCACGGUGGAUGCCUUGGCACUAGAAGCCGAUGAAGGACGUUACUAACGACGAUAUGCUUUGGGGAGCUGUAAGUAAGCUUUGAUCCAGAGAUUUCCGAAUGGGGAAACCCAGCAUGAGUUAUGUCAUGUUAUCGAUAUGUGAAUACAUAGCAUAUCAGAAGGCACACCCGGAGAACUGAAACAUCUUAGUACCCGGAGGAAGAGAAAGAAAAUUCGAUUCCCUUAGUAGCGGCGAGCGAAACGGGAAGAGCCCAAACCAACAAGCUUGCUUGUUGGGGUUGUAGGACACUCUAUACGGAGUUACAAAGGACGACAUUAGACGAAUCAUCUGGAAAGAUGAAUCAAAGAAGGUAAUAAUCCUGUAGUCGAAAAUGUUGUCUCUCUUGAGUGGAUCCUGAGUACGACGGAGCACGUGAAAUUCCGUCGGAAUCUGGGAGGACCAUCUCCUAAGGCUAAAUACUCUCUAGUGACCGAUAGUGAACCAGUACCGUGAGGGAAAGGUGAAAAGCACCCCGGAAGGGGAGUGAAAUAGAACCUGAAACCGUGUGCUUACAAGUAGUCAGAGCCCGUUAAUGGGUGAUGGCGUGCCUUUUGUAGAAUGAACCGGCGAGUUACGAUUUGAUGCAAGGUUAAGCAGUAAAUGUGGAGCCGUAGCGAAAGCGAGUCUGAAUAGGGCGUUUAGUAUUUGGUCGUAGACCCGAAACCAGGUGAUCUACCCUUGGUCAGGUUGAAGUUCAGGUAACACUGAAUGGAGGACCGAACCGACUUACGUUGAAAAGUGAGCGGAUGAACUGAGGGUAGCGGAGAAAUUCCAAUCGAACCUGGAGAUAGCUGGUUCUCUCCGAAAUAGCUUUAGGGCUAGCCUCAAGUGAUGAUUAUUGGAGGUAGAGCACUGUUUGGACGAGGGGCCCCUCUCGGGUUACCGAAUUCAGACAAACUCCGAAUGCCAAUUAAUUUAACUUGGGAGUCAGAACAUGGGUGAUAAGGUCCGUGUUCGAAAGGGAAACAGCCCAGACCACCAGCUAAGGUCCCAAAAUAUAUGUUAAGUGGAAAAGGAUGUGGCGUUGCCCAGACAACUAGGAUGUUGGCUUAGAAGCAGCCAUCAUUUAAAGAGUGCGUAAUAGCUCACUAGUCGAGUGACACUGCGCCGAAAAUGUACCGGGGCUAAACAUAUUACCGAAGCUGUGGAUUGUCCUUUGGACAAUGGUAGGAGAGCGUUCUAAGGGCGUUGAAGCAUGAUCGUAAGGACAUGUGGAGCGCUUAGAAGUGAGAAUGCCGGUGUGAGUAGCGAAAGACGGGUGAGAAUCCCGUCCACCGAUUGACUAAGGUUUCCAGAGGAAGGCUCGUCCGCUCUGGGUUAGUCGGGUCCUAAGCUGAGGCCGACAGGCGUAGGCGAUGGAUAACAGGUUGAUAUUCCUGUACCACCUAUAAUCGUUUUAAUCGAUGGGGGGACGCAGUAGGAUAGGCGAAGCGUGCGAUUGGAUUGCACGUCUAAGCAGUAAGGCUGAGUAUUAGGCAAAUCCGGUACUCGUUAAGGCUGAGCUGUGAUGGGGAGAAGACAUUGUGUCUUCGAGUCGUUGAUUUCACACUGCCGAGAAAAGCCUCUAGAUAGAAAAUAGGUGCCCGUACCGCAAACCGACACAGGUAGUCAAGAUGAGAAUUCUAAGGUGAGCGAGCGAACUCUCGUUAAGGAACUCGGCAAAAUGACCCCGUAACUUCGGGAGAAGGGGUGCUCUUUAGGGUUAACGCCCAGAAGAGCCGCAGUGAAUAGGCCCAAGCGACUGUUUAUCAAAAACACAGGUCUCUGCUAAACCGUAAGGUGAUGUAUAGGGGCUGACGCCUGCCCGGUGCUGGAAGGUUAAGAGGAGUGGUUAGCUUCUGCGAAGCUACGAAUCGAAGCCCCAGUAAACGGCGGCCGUAACUAUAACGGUCCUAAGGUAGCGAAAUUCCUUGUCGGGUAAGUUCCGACCCGCACGAAAGGCGUAACGAUUUGGGCACUGUCUCAACGAGAGACUCGGUGAAAUCAUAGUACCUGUGAAGAUGCAGGUUACCCGCGACAGGACGGAAAGACCCCGUGGAGCUUUACUGUAGCCUGAUAUUGAAAUUCGGCACAGCUUGUACAGGAUAGGUAGGAGCCUUUGAAACGUGAGCGCUAGCUUACGUGGAGGCGCUGGUGGGAUACUACCCUAGCUGUGUUGGCUUUCUAACCCGCACCACUUAUCGUGGUGGGAGACAGUGUCAGGCGGGCAGUUUGACUGGGGCGGUCGCCUCCUAAAAGGUAACGGAGGCGCUCAAAGGUUCCCUCAGAAUGGUUGGAAAUCAUUCAUAGAGUGUAAAGGCAUAAGGGAGCUUGACUGCGAGACCUACAAGUCGAGCAGGGUCGAAAGACGGACUUAGUGAUCCGGUGGUUCCGCAUGGAAGGGCCAUCGCUCAACGGAUAAAAGCUACCCCGGGGAUAACAGGCUUAUCUCCCCCAAGAGUUCACAUCGACGGGGAGGUUUGGCACCUCGAUGUCGGCUCAUCGCAUCCUGGGGCUGUAGUCGGUCCCAAGGGUUGGGCUGUUCGCCCAUUAAAGCGGUACGCGAGCUGGGUUCAGAACGUCGUGAGACAGUUCGGUCCCUAUCCGUCGUGGGCGUAGGAAAUUUGAGAGGAGCUGUCCUUAGUACGAGAGGACCGGGAUGGACAUACCUCUGGUGUACCAGUUGUCGUGCCAACGGCAUAGCUGGGUAGCUAUGUGUGGACGGGAUAAGUGCUGAAAGCAUCUAAGCAUGAAGCCCCCCUCAAGAUGAGAUUUCCCAACUUCGGUUAUAAGAUCCCUCAAAGAUGAUGAGGUUAAUAGGUUCGAGGUGGAAGCAUGGUGACAUGUGGAGCUGACGAAUACUAAUCGAUCGAAGACUUAA
rnacentral:rRNA from 1 species